ensembl:rRNA 5S_rRNA 5S ribosomal RNA
GCUUACGGCCACACCACCCUGAACGCGCCCGAUCUCGUCCGAUCUCGGAAGCUAAGCAGGGUCGGGCCUGGUUAGUACUUGGAUGGGAGACCGCCUGGGAAUACCAGGUGCUGUAAGCU